AUGGAGGCACAAAUGUCGAGUCCCUCAGCCUUCUCCUUGUCUGCUUCCAGCCACAGUGGUGCUGGUAAGCAGCAUCGUGUGCAGAGUACAGCUGCCUUGUGCAGAGAACGCAGCACUGCAAUGCACUUUUGUGCUGGAGGUGCUGACUUGCACGUGUGGGACAGCGCCUCUGUCAUUGUAUUGCAUUCAGCAGGUGGUGGCAGGGAACCACAGCGCUCUGGUGGUGUAACAGCUGCAGCCAGAAAGCUGUGGCUCUUCAUGAGAGCUGCGAGAAAUACAAAGCUUCAUCUCCUGGAACGCCCUGACUUUGCUGACUGGCUGCUGGUUGCCCAAACUGCUGCUUUCUCUUUUUUGGCAGGGAAUCCUGUCUGUUCUUAGGGGGUGGUAGCUGUUUGUACCUGGAAGCUGCUUCCUUCACUUCAGAGUGUAGGUGAGUGUUGGUCCUUCGAAUGGGGUAAGUGGUUUAUUUUUUUAUUUCAGGGCUCUGAUCUCCUCUUUUUAGGGGAUCCCAAUUCCAUUGAAGGGCUGGUAGCUGUAAGAACAGCAUCUGAACCUCAAAAUGGCUUCCUUUGGGGUGUGGGGUGAACCCUUAGAAUGGGUUGAGAGAUUCCUGCUUUAUUUCAGAGCUGUGAGCUCUGCUUUUCUGGGGGAUCUCAAGCUGGGUUAGAGCAGCUGUUUUAGCUAUGUGUGUUGUUUCCUUUUCAGUGGUUCUCAGCUCAUAAUCUCCCAUCUGGGCUUCAAAUAUUUUUUUUCUAUUUCUAUGUUUUCCCACUUCAUGGCUGUAAUUAAUAGUGCUUUGUGUUAAUUUCAUCCAUGCAGUGUUUUUUAAGGGCAUUCUGUGCAUCUUUGUACUGUUUUCAGUUAUGUUCUGUGUCUCUUCUGAUUUCAUUUUGCAGCAUGAUGGGGUUUAAGGAUUACCUGUGCUCCUCCAAUCAGCGGUGUGAGAUCUGUGCGGCAGGUAACGAACACUAUGAGCUCCAUGUUGGUGCACUGCUUGUAUGCAGGUAGGUUUGCGAUGCGGUCUGACUCCCCCACAGUGAACAUCCACAGCUGGAUCAGGUUGCUCAGAGUCUGACCCAGCCUUGCCUUGAAAGAGGCAGCGCAUCCACCACGUCUCUGGCAACCUGUUCCACUGCCUCGCCACCCUCACUGUGGAAGACAUUUUCUUUAGAUUUAACCUCAAUUUUCCCUUGUUCUUUCCUUUAGCUAUUGAAAGGCUGUUACCAGGUCACCUUGGAGCCUUCACUUUUCCAGGCUGAACAGCCCAGCUCUCCCUUCUUAUAGCAGAGGUGUUCCAUCCUUCGGUUCAUGUUUGUGGCUGUACUCUAGAUGUGCUCCCACUGCUCCAUGUGUCCCUGCACUGAGGACCCCAUGUCUGGGUGCAGCACUGCAGGUGAGGCCUGACCAGCGCAGAGCGGAGGGGGGGGGACCGCCUCCCUUUGCCUGUUGACCACCAAUCUUUGGAUGCAGCUCAAGAUAUAUUUGGUUUUCUGGGCUGGAAGGGCCCAUUGCUGGCUCGUGUCCAGCUCCCACCCACCAGUACCCUAGGCCCUAUGGGGCAGGACUGCGCUCAGUCCUUACAUCCCCCAGCAUGUUUUGGUGGUGGGCGUUCCCUCAUCCCAGCUGCUGACCCUGCACUUGGAUUUGUGCCCACUCCUCAGCGCAUUGAUGUCCCUCUGGAUGGUGGGAGGUCCCUCCCUCUGUUGUGUCACUGCACCCCACAGCUCAGUGUCAUUAGGGUGCACUCAACCCUUCUGUUCAUGUCACUGAUGAAGGGGCAAUCCCAGAUGUUUGUAUGAACUGGGUGUAGAACCCCCUUGAGAGCAGCCCUGUAGAGAAGGACUCGGGGAUCCUGGUGGAUGAGAAGCCAGACAUGAGCCAGCAGUGUGUGCUUGCAGCCUGGAAGGCCAACUGUGUUCUGGGCUGCAUUAAAAGAGGAGUGGCCAGCAGGGAGAGGGAGGUGAUCGUCCCCCUCUGCUCAGCUCUUGUAAGGCCCCAUCUGCAGCACUGCGUCCAGGCCUGGGGCCCCAGCACAGGAAGGAUGUGGAGCUUUUGGAGCAGGUCCAGGAAAGGGCCACUAAGAUGAUCAGAGUGCUGGAGCACUUCUCCUAUGAAGAAAGUUUGAGGGAAGUGGGAUUGUUUUUCUUGGAGAAGAGAAAGCUUUGGAGAGACCUCAUCACAGCCUUCCAAUACUCAAAGGGAGCACAUAAGCAGUAGGGAGGAUGGCUGUUUCUGAGGGUGGAUAGCGAUACAACAAGGGGAAUGGUUUUAAACGGUGACAGGGGUUGUUUAGGUUUGUUAUUAGGAGGAAGCUUUUCGUACAGAGGGUGCUGACUCACUGGAACAUGAGCUUUAGAGUCACUUCCAGGAGGAUCUGCUCCGUGAUUGCUCCCAGCACAGAGGUGAGACUGACAUGGUGGUAGUUCCCAGGGUCACACUUAUUAUCCUUAAUAACAGGUGUGCUGUGACCUUUUUACUAGUUAUCAGGGACUUCACCUGACUGCCUCGAGUUGUGAAAUACCACUGAGAGUGGCUCAGUGACUGCAGUGGUGAAUUGUCUUGGAAUUGUGGGAGUCAUCUUGUCAGGACCCAAAUGUUCGGGUCCUCAGGUGGUCUAGAACCUGAUCUCCCAUCAAAGAGUGGGAUGGGCAGGCGUCUGGGGGACUGGCAUUGCUUCCUCAAUCCCCACCUACCAAACCAAAGGUGAGGGCAGUGUAUAAUCAGCAGUUACCAAAGAAGAUGGAAGCAAAAAUGUUGUUGGGUACCUGAGCCUUCUCUGGUGGUAAGCAGCAUCGUGCACAGAGUGCAGCCACGUUGCUCUGAGAAAGGAGCGCA
ensembl:lncRNA